rnacentral:rRNA from 1 species
UCAAGGGAAGAAGGGCAUACGGUGGAUGCCUAGGACGUAGGAGGCGAAGAAGGGCGCGGCAAGCUGCGAAAAGCCACGGUAAGGUGCAAGCGACCGAAGAGCCGUGGGUACCCGAAUGGGGAAACCCGGUGAGCAGAGAGGCUCAUCAUCCCGAAAGGGAGGCGAACCCGGUGAAGUGAAACAUCUCAGUAGCCGGAGGAAAAGAAAGCGAAGCGAUAGCGUGAGUAGUGGUGAGCGAAAGCGCUGGAGUCCAAACCGAAGACGUGUCAAGCGCGCGGGCGUUGCGUCUUCGGGGUAGGGGGACGUUCGAGGGGUGGCUGCGCCCACCCACUCAGACGGAAGGCGUUUAGGAGAAAUCUCUGGGAAGGGAUACCGAAGAAGGUGACAGUCCUGUACCCGAAAGGCGCCGGAGCUGAGGAACGAUCCCAAGUAGUGCCGGGCACGUGAAAUCCGGUAUGAAUCAGGGGAGACCACUCUCCAAGACUAAAUACUCCUACGGACCGAUAGAGAAGCAGUACCGUGAGGGAAAGGUGAAAAGCACCCCGGGAGGGGAGUGAAAGAGAACCUGAAACCGUAUGCCUACAAGAAGAGGGAGCGAAAGUGACCUCGUGCCUUUUGAGUAAUGUGCCUGCGAGUGGUCGUAUCGGGCGAGGUUAAGCCGGGGGAGGCGGAGCCGGAGGGAAACCGAGUCUGAAGAGGGCGAAAGAGUCCGAUGCGAUCGACCCGAAGCCAGGUGAGCUACCCAUGUCCAGGGUGAAGGUGGGGUAAGACCCACUGGAGGCCCGAACCGGUGGACAGUAAAAAGUCUUCGGAUGAGGUGUGGGUAGGAGUGAAAAGCUAACCGAACCUGGUGAUAGCUGGUACUCUCCGAAACGUAUUGAGGUACGGCCUCAGGGGGUCCCUUGCGGGGGUAGGGCGCUGGAUGGGGUAGGGGAGCAAUCUCCGAACUCAACCAAACUGCGAAUACCGCAAGGAAUAACCUGGGAGACAGCCCGUGGGGGAUAAGCUCCACGGACGAGAGGGAAACAACCCAGACCGACGGCUAAGGUCCCGAAGAGAUCGCUUAGUGUGCAAGGAAGUGGUGUGUCCGAGACAGCUGGGAGGUUGGCUUAGAAGCAGCCAUCCUUGAAAGAGUGCGUAACAGCUCACCAGUUAAGACAGGCUGCGCCGAAGAUAGAGGGGGCUGAAGCGAUUCACCGAAGCCGCGGAAUGCGAAAGCAUUGGUAGGAGAGCAUUGCGCCGAGGGAGAAAGCCGGACUGCGAAGGCGGCUGGACGGAGCGCAAGGGAGGAUGCAGGCAUGAGUAACGAGAAGACGGUGAGAAUCCGUCUCCCCGAAAGCCUAAGGGUACCUGGGGAAGGGUCGUCCACCCAGGGUAAGCCGGACCUAAGGGGAACCCGAAAGGGGUAACCGAUGGGAAGCCGGUAAAGAUUCCGGCGCCAGGCGUCCGGGAGGUACGAGCGGGGACACAGGAGGAUAGGCUCUGCGAAGAAAUGGGAAAUUCGUCCAAGCCUCGAGCUGUAGAAGCGCGUAGGGAAGGCCGCGCGCGGAGGUAAGGGGUGAAGGGGAGUCCAUCGAAGGGUGGGCAACGGAGCUGAGUUCACACUGUCAAGAAAAGCCGCGCGUACCGGCGAACGGAAGCCUGACCGUUCUAAAAACCGACACAGGUAGGCUAGUUGAGAAGACUAAGGGGAGCGGGAGAACCUCCGCUAAGGAACUAGGCAAAAUGGCCCCGUAACUUCGGGAGAAGGGGCGCUCCUGCGGGUUAAGAGCUAGCGGGAGCUGCAAAGACCAGGCUCUGGCGACUGUUUACCAAAAACACAGGACUCUGCGAACACGAUGAGUGGACGUAUAGGGUCUGACGCCUGCCCAGUGCUGGAAGGUUAAGGGGAGUGGUCAGCGCGAGCGAAGCUACGAACCGAAGCCCCAGUAAACGGCGGCCGUAACUAUAACGGUCCUAAGGUAGCGAAAUUCCUUGUCGGGUAAGUUCCGACCUGCACGAAUGGCAUAACAACAUCCCCGCUGUCUCGACCAGGGACUCAGCGAAAUUGUAUUGGGGGUGAAGAUACCCUCUACCCGCGGCAAGACGGAAAGACCCCGUGAACCUUUACUGCAACUUGGCAGUGAAGCUCGGGACAUUCUGCGUAGGAUAGGUGGGAGACUUUGAAACCGGGGUUCCGGCUUCGGUGGAGUCAACCUUGAAAUACCACCCUGAAUGUUCUGGGCUUCUAACCCAGCACCGUUAUCCGGUGCGGGGACACUGUCUGGUGGGCAGUUUGACUGGGGCGGUCGCCUCCCAAAAAGUAACGGAGGCGCGCG